AACGAACGCUGGCGGCGUGGAUAAGACAUGCAAGUCGAACGGGAUCAGUUGAGUAGCAAUACGAAGCUGGUCUAGUGGCGAACGGGUGCGUAACACGUGGAUACAUUCCGGGAAGCGGGGGAUAGCCCAUGGAAACGUGGAUUAAUACCGCAUGUGGUCGAGAGACCAAAGACGGGGACCGCAAGGCCUGUCACUUCCCGAUUGGUCCGCGGCCUAUCAGCUAGUUGGCGGGGUAAAAGCCCACCAAGGCGACGACGGGUAGCUGGUCUGAGAGGACGACCAGCCACACUGGGACUGAGACACGGACCAGACACCUACGGGUGGCAGCAGUCGAGAAUCUUUCACAAUGGGGGCAACCCUGAUGGAGCGACGCCGCGUGGAGGAUAAGGUCUUCGGAUUGUAAACUCCUGACAUGCGAGAACAAGGCUGCGGGGUUAAUAGCCCAUGCAGAUUGAUGGUACCGCAAGAGGAAGAGACGGCUAACUCUGUGCCAGCAGCCGCGGUAAGAC
rnacentral:rRNA from 1 species